rnacentral:rRNA from 1 species
AUGAACGCUGGCGGCGUGCCUAAUACAUGCACGUCGAGCGAACGGACGAGAAGCUUGCUUCUCUGAUGUUAGCGGCGGACGGGUGAGUAACACGUGGAUAACCUACCUAUAAGACUGGGAUAACUUCGGGAAACCGGAACUAAUACCGGAUGAUAUUUUGAACCGCAUGGUUCAAAAGUGAAAGACGGUCUUGCUGUCACUUAUAGAUGGAUCCGCGCUGCAUUAGCUAGUUGGUAAGGUAACGGCUUACCAAGGCAACGAUGCAUAGCCGACCUGAGAGGGUGAUCGGCCACACUGGAACUGAGACACGGUCCAGACUCCUACGGGAGGCAGCAGUAGGGAAUCUUCCGCAAUGGGCGAAAGCCUGACGGAGCAACGCCGCGUGAGUGAUGAAGGUCUUCGGAUCGUAAAACUCUGUUAUUAGGGAAGAACAUAUGUGUAAGUAACUGUGCACAUCUUGACGGUACCUAAUCAGAAAGCCACGGCUAACUACGUG